rnacentral:rRNA from 1 species
UACGUAGGGUGCGAGCGUUAAUCGGAAUUAUUGGGCGUAAAGCGCGCGCAGGCGGUCCUUUAAGUCUGAUGUGAAAGCCCACGGCUCAACCGUGGAGGGUCAUUGGAAACUGGAGGACUUGAGUACAGAAGAGGAAAGCGGAAUUCCACGUGUAGCGGUGAAAUGCGUAGAGAUGUGGAGGAACACCAGUGGCGAAGGCGGCUUUCUGGUCUGUAACUGACGCUGAGGCGCGAAAGCGUGGGGAGCAAACAGG